rnacentral:rRNA from 1 species
UACGUAGGGUGCGAGCGUUGUCCGGAAUUAUUGGGCGUAAAGGGCUCGUAGGCGGUCUGUCGCGUCGGGAGUGAAAACCUUGGGCUUAACUCAGGGCUUGCUUUCGAUACGGGCAGACUAGAGGUAUGCAGGGGAGAACGGAAUUCCUGGUGUAGCGGUGAAAUGCGCAGAUAUCAGGAGGAACACCGGUGGCGAAGGCGGGUCUCUGGGCCGAUACUGACGCUGAGGAGCGAAAGCGUGGGGAGCAAACAGG